CCUAAUGGUCUCAGACACUAUUCGAUGGUCUAGAGACAUUUACACAGAGCACAUCACCGGCCACCGCCAAUACCAAGUGUGAGCCGGCAUGACUUUGAAGACACCUAUUAGAC